GAUGAAGAACGUAGCGAAAUGCGAUAAGUAGUGUGAAUUGCAGAAUUCCGUGAAUCAUCGAAUCUUUGAACGCACAUUGCGCCUUCUGGUAUUCCGGAAGGCAUGCCUGUUCGAGAGUCAUUAACAACCGUUUCGAUCCCUUUCUUUCAGAAAUUACAAAGAGGAAAAGGGUUUGGUUAUGGUGGUGGAGGGAAAGGGAGCGUUUAGCCUGUAAAAAAAGAGGCUGUGUUCCGCCUCCCCCCCAAAAUUGUACAGGCGGUCGUGUGCGCCCACGCAUCGAGGUGUUGUAAAAGCUGCCACGGCACUUUUCACCUGUGCAGUGCGAGAUUGGCCAGCCGGUUUAAAAACCCCUCCAAACAAUCAAAGGUUGACCUCGGAUCAGGUAGGGAUACCCGCUGAACUUAAGCAUAUCAAUAAGCGGAGGA
rnacentral:misc_RNA from 1 species